GACGAACGCUGGCGGCGUGCUUAACACAUGCAAGUCGAACGGAAAGGCCCUGCUUUUGUGGGGUGCUCGAGUGGCGAACGGGUGAGUAACACGUGAGUAACCUGCCCUUGACUUUGGGAUAACUUCAGGAAACUGGGGCUAAUACCGGAUAGGAGCUCCUGCUGCAUGGUGGGGGUUGGAAAGUUUCGGCGGUUGGGGAUGGACUCGCGGCUUAUCAGCUUGUUGGUGGGGUAGUGGCUUACCAAGGCUUUGACGGGUAGCCGGCCUGAGAGGGUGACCGGCCACAAUGGGACUGAGAUACGGCCCAGACUCCUACGGGAGGCAGCAGUGGGGAAUAUUGCACAAUGGGCGGAAGCCUGAUGCAGCAACGCCGCGUGCGGGAUGACGGCCUUCGGGUUGUAAACCGAUUUCGCCUGUGACGAAGCGUGAGUGACGGUAAUGGGUAAAGAAGCACCGGCUAACUACGUG
rnacentral:rRNA from 1 species